GAACACCUAAAUGAGCUGUAGCAGAAAUGCACCCAAAAUUGGAUGUCAGUAGGCUGCAAAACCAUCAAUCUGCACAGAAGAUCACAUAAAGCUACAAUCAAAGAGCUCCAUCCAUCUUAUAGAAGAUCCAUACAUAUGCUCUCUCGAUAAAAGAGCAAUAAUGAAGACCUUCAGUCUUCUGCCAGACCAAGCUUACCAAAAACUUAACAUCAGUUUCAUCUUGAUUAUGAGACAUGGCCUUUACCCAAGGUAUGCAAAAUUAC
rnacentral:misc_RNA from 1 species